AAUAUUGGACAAUGGGCGAAAGCCUGAUCCAGCAAUGCCGCGUGAGCGAUGAAGGCCUUAGGGUUGUAAAGCUCUUUUACCCGGGAUGAUAAUGACAGUACCGGGAGAAUAAGCCCCGGCUAACUCCGUGCCAGCAGCCGCGGUAAUACGGAGGGGGCUAGCGUUGUUCGGAAUUACUGGGCGUAAAGCGCACGUAGGCGGCCAUUUAAGUCAGAGGUGAAAGCCUGGAGCUCAACUCCAGAACUGCCUUUGAGACUGGAUGGCUAGAAUCUUGGAGAGGCGAGUGGAAUUCCGAGUGUAGAGGUGAAAUUCGUAGAUAUUCGGAAGAACACCAGUGGCGAAGGCGGCUCGCUGGACAAGUAUUGACGCUGAGGUGCGAAAGCGUGGGGAGCAAACAGG
rnacentral:rRNA from 1 species